AUUGAACGCUGGCGGCAGGCUUAACACAUGCAAGUCGAGCGGAGCGGCGGACGGGUGAGUAAUGUCUAGGAAUCUGCCUGGUAGUGGGGGUUAACGUCCGGAAACGGGCGCUAAUACCGCAUACUAUCAGAUGAGCCUAGGUCGGAUUAGCUAGUUGGUGGGGUAAAGGCCUACCAGGGCGACGAUCCGUAACCGGUCUGGGAGGAUGCUCAGUCACACUGGAACUGAGACGCGGUACAGACGCCUACGGGAGGCAGCAGUGGGGAAUAUUGGGCAAUGGGCGAAAGCCUGAUCCAGCCAUGGCGCGUGUGUGAAGAAGGUCUUCGGAUUGUAAAGCACUUUAAGUUGGGAGGCGUUACCAACAGAAUAAGCACCGGCUAACUUCGUGCCAGCCGCCGCGGUAAUAC
rnacentral:rRNA from 1 species